ACAGCAGUCGCCGCGGGAAAACGAAGGUCCCGAGCGUUGUUCGGAAUCACUGGGCGUAAAGGGAGCGUAGGCGGCGUGGUAAGUCAGAUGUGGAAUCCCGGGGCUCAACCCCGGAACUGCAUCCGAUACUGCCAUGCUAGAGGAUUGGAGAGGUAGCUGGAAUUCUUGGUGUAGCAGUGAAAUGCGUGGAGAUCAUGAGGAACACUCGUGGCGAAAGCGAGCUACUGGACAAUAACUGACGCUGAAGCUCGAAGGCCAGGGUAGCGAAAGGGAUUAGAUACCCGAGUAGUCCCUGUCUCUUAUAC
rnacentral:rRNA from 1 species